GCCAACUCCGAUUAUGUCUGAGGCCGGUAACAUCAACAGUGAGGACAAACCCAAUCUACAGUCACUGGGUCCUGAUGGUGACAGUGGAGCCCAGUUUGCACUGCAGGAUCCAGAGAUGGCAUCAGUGAAGGUGGAAGACUGCAGUCAAACACUGGAGCUGAAUGUCAACAUUAAAGAUGAAGAAGAGGAGGAGAAGAUUGGGGAAUCUGUUUAUGAUGGAGACCAUGUUGAGACAUUCUCUACAUCCAGAGAGCAACAGCAGGAAGAUCACAGAGCUAAGAGGUCUCACCACUGCUCACGUUGUGAGGAGAUUUUCCAAUUCUAUCAAGCUAAAAAUACACCUAAAAAUACAGACAAUGUAGAAUCUUUAUCUCUGCUUUGACUGUGGGAAGAGCUGCAAAAUAUCAAGGGAUCUGACAGUUCAACAUUCAACAUGGGAGAAAAGCCUUACUCCUGCUCUGACCGUUGGAAGAGUUUCUCUCAACAUGGCCACUUAAAAACAUAUCAACAUAUACAUAAAUGUGAGAUUCCUCAUCAGUUCUCUGACUAGCUAAGAUUAAAAUCAUUCCAUCACUUAAUUAUCAAGAAAGCGUAGAACACUCUAUUGUUGUCUUAUUGUUUCUCACUGUGAGAGAACUGUACAGAGGAAAGGGAGCGUUUAUAGAAUGUUAGCCUCUCUUUACUUUACUGAUCAGUAUUCACUGAAACCUGCUCAAUUUAUCUGCGAAUUAAAAAUAAAGUUUGUACAUUUGUACUGGUCAAACUCUUCUCUUUUGGAAAAUUAAUUACCAAAAAACAGUGUUUCAAGUGACAUAUUUGCUGUUUUUCUGAAGCUGAACAAGACAGGAAGUUGAAAUGAGCGUCACAAAGCUAAAUCUGACCUAUUCUCUAACAUGUUUUGUCAUCAUAAACAGCUGUGAGACCUGCUAGAGUACUGCAACUGUAUUGAUCUCCUGAAUCAUUGUAGUUAUGGGGGGUUAUCUUUACAGUAAAUAUAAUGCUGUUGUUUAAUUCAUGGAAUUCAAAAUAAUGUAUAUUUGUAUUUAUCUACUCAAUACAUGUCACGACAACAGUACACAUUGGGACAAGACAAUUUACUAGUCACCAAUAUUCUCUAAAUCAAAUCAGUGAUGACUGUUCAACAGUCUUAUGGCCUGGAGAUAGAAGCAGUUUCAUUCUCUUGGUACCAGCUUUGAUGCACCUGUACCGUCUCUGCUUGCUACAUGGUAGCAGGGGGAACAGGCCGUGGCUCGGGUGGAUGAGAUUCUUGAUCUUCCACAUAAAAUGUUAUUGAUCACAUACACAUGGUUAACAGAUGUUAUUCCGAGUGUAACGAAAUGCUUGUGCUUCUAGUUCUGACUGUGCAGCAAUAUCUAGCAAGUAAUAUCUAGCAAUUCCACAACAAAUACCUAAUACACACAAAUCUAAGUAAAGGAAUGGAAUAAGAAUAUAUAUUAAUAUAGGGAUAAGCAAUGUCAGAGUGGCAUAGGCUAAGAUGCAAUAUAUAUUAUAGAAUACAGUAUAUACAUAUGAGAUGAGUAAUGCAAGAUAUGUAAACAUUAUUCAACUGGCAUUAUCUCUGUGGCCUUCCACAGAGACCAUGUACAAUGCAUAUGUAAUGUUUAAAAAAAAAACUUAGACAUUAAAACAGACACACCUUUAGUUUUCUUGAACCAAGGUUUAUUUGUCUUGCUAAUCAAGUUCCCUUUAUAUUUUACAUGCUUUAUCAGUAGUUAGUCCAUCAGUCCAAUACAUGUCGCUGUUGCACUACGGUAGUGGGAAACAGGAAGUUCCGGGUUGCCUGCCACCAUUCUUCGGAGUAAAGAAAACGGCAGAACGGUGUUGUGCGUUUCGCUUUAUUACUACAGGUAUGUAAUAGCACGUUUAAACAGUCUAUUAUCGAAAUAACGUAUUAUAUAACACAUCCUCGAGAUAUUAUCACGUUUGGGAAAGGUUUUGUGUAAUAUCUCUGUCAAACCGAGUGAGAGAAGAACGUGAUAAAAAAAUUAUUUUACGAGCACACGGAGCGGUGUCCACCACACGUUAAUUUGUGAGGCUUUCCAGGUUCAUACAUAACUCAGUCGUGUUCUCCUGGGGAUGUUCAGUACAAAAACGUUGUGGAAAGUUGCAGAUAGAAAUGCCCUGAAUAGAACUGAGAUGAUCCCUUAGAAUCAGAGGCAUGUUUGUUCUACAUAAUACAUUUCCAUCUGAAUGUGGCCAACGUCUCCGUCCUCCUCCUGGAAGCAGCCCUGGUACCCGCUUGUCCCUAGCUAUGUGAAGCUAGCCAAAAUAACGAUUAGCCACUAUAAUGGAAUUUGCUGUUCGCCCUCAACAUAAAAGACCCUCAUUGAAAGCAAUGCGACCUGAUA
rnacentral:lncRNA from 13 species